UUUUUUUUGUUGUGAAACGAUAAGUAUUUGGAUUUUUAAUUGAAGCUUACCCUUUUAUGUCUUAGAGUGGGUGAAUAAUGCUGGGAGAUGGUACUUUAGAUUUGGCUUGGAUAGUUUUAACUGCCCUUUGAAUGAAGUAGCACACCCCUUGAUCAGCUGCUGAAAGGUUUUGGUGUCAAUUACUUGUCAAAGGGUUGCAGGAUCGUUACGAAAUAUCAUUGGAAAUUGCUGCUCUAACACAAAGACAUGUGAUGAGAUAUUCUUCUUCCUUUCCUGAAUUGAAGCCUAAAAGGGUGGCCGGGAGAGAAUAUUUGCCCUAGAAGUUAGUACCGAGAGAGGCAAACUGCGCAUCUCCAAGCUCAGGUGGGGCUCUUAAUGGGCACCUCUGAACAGGAGAGGAUAGGAGGUUGAGGGCUGAUAUUAAUAAGCAUUUUUUGUUCACUUCCAAUUGGUAAUGCAGAAUAUAAACUUUCUGUGAUCUUGCAAUCUUGUUUCUAUUCAUGCUUCUUGGUUUGGUUUGAAAGAGGAGGGGGACCGUAAUCUAGUUGCACUGAAGUAGACUACUUCAUGAAAUUUGUGGGAAGCAUAUUUAUAAUCAUUGAAGGUAUUGAUUACCCAUGUGUUUGGAGUCGCGAAGUUUAGGUUGAAAAUUGACUUAUAGCUUUCCAUAGUUCUUAGAUUUUCACUGCCUUGGCGAAUCAUUCUGCAGUUGAACUCCUAUGAUGUAUGAACCGGCUUUCUGUUUUCAUAGGGCAGAAGG